UGCACGGCUGUGAAGAGAAGAGUAAUUAAGAUUCAUUGUUUCCAGAGAGCUUCGGUAGGUGAGAAGAAGCAAUAAUGAUUUUAAUGAAAAAAGCCUCGGAGCCUUUGCACGGAUCUAAGAUUUUUCCUUAGUGAUACUGCGACGGGAUCUCCCGUUAUAGAGAUAGGGUAUAAUUGUUUUUUAAAAGCAUAAGUACCCGAAGAGGUUGAUAUGGCAACAUGUCAACAAACUGGGGUGGUACCACGAAGUUAACAACUCUCGUCCUCAAG
rnacentral:ncRNA from 1 species